AAUAGCGGAGGAAAAGAAACCAACUGGGAUUACCUUAGUAACGGCGAGUGAAGCGGUAAAAGCUCAAAUUUGAAAUCUGGUACUUUCAGUGCCCGAGUUGUAAUUUGUAGAAUUUGUCUUUGAUUAGGUCCUUGUCUAUGUUCCUUGGAACAGGACGUCAUAGAGGGUGAGAAUCCCGUUUGGCGAGGAUACCUUUUCUCUGUAAGACUUUUUCGAAGAGUCGAGUUGUUUGGGAAUGCAGCUCAAAGUGGGUGGUAAAUUCCAUCUAAAGCUAAAUAUUGGCGAGAGACCGAUAGCGAACAAGUACAGUGAUGGAAAGAUGAAAAGAACUUUGAAAAGAGAGUGAAAAAGUACGUGAAAUUGUUGAAAGGGAAGGGCAUUUGAUCAGACAUGGUGUUUUUUGCAUGCACUCGCCUCUCGUGGGCUUGGGCCUCUCAAAAAUUUCACUGGGCCAACAUCAAUUCUGGCAGCAGGAUAAAUCAUUAAGAAUGUAGCUACUUCGGUAGUGUUAUAGCUUUUUGGAAUACUGUUAGCCGGGAUUGAGGACUGCGCUUCGGCAAGGAUGUUGGCAUAAUAGGUUAAAUGCCGCCCGUCUUGA
rnacentral:rRNA from 1 species